AGGACGAACGCUGGCGGCGUGCUUAACACAUGCAAGUCGAGCGGUGAUCCUCCUUCGGGAGGUGAGCAGCGGCGAACGGGUGAGUAACACGUGGGCAACCUGCCCCUCACACUGGGAUAACCUCGGGAAACCGGGGCUAAUACCGGAUAUGACCUCGAGCGGCAUCUCUUGAGGUGGAAAGCUCCGACGGUGAGGGAUGGGCCCGCGGCCUAUCAGCUUGGUUGGUGGGUAAUGGCCUACCAAGGCGACGACGGGUA
rnacentral:rRNA from 1 species